rnacentral:rRNA from 1 species
UGGCGGACGGGUGAGUAACGCGUAGGAAUCUGCCUGGUGAUGGGGGAUAACCCGGGGAAACUCGGGCUAAUACCGCAUACGCUCUACGGAGGAAAGCGGGGGAUCUUCGGACCUCGCGUCAUCAGAUGAGCCUGCGUCCGAUUAGCUAGUUGGAGGGGUAAAGGCCCACCAAGGCGACGAUCGGUAGCUGGUCUGAGAGGACGAUCAGCCACACUGGAACUGAGACACGGUCCAGACUCCUACGGGAGGCAGCAGUGGGGAAUAUUGGACAAUGGGCGCAAGCCUGAUCCAGCAAUGCCGCGUGUGUGAAGAAGGCCUGCGGGUUGUAAAGCACUUUAAGCAGGAAAGAAGGCUCUGGGGCUAAUAUCCUCGGGGAUUGACGUUACCUGCAGAAUAAGCACCGGCUAACUCCGUGCCAGCAGCCGCGGUAAUACGGAGGGUGCGAGCGUUAAUCGGAAUUACUGGGCGUAAAGCGCGCGUAGGCGGUUCAUUAAGUCUGCUGUGAAAGCCCUGGGCUUAACCUGGGAACUGCAGUGGAUACUGGUGGGCUAGAGUGCGGUAGAGGGGUGUGGAAUUUCCG